rnacentral:rRNA from 1 species
AGAGUUUGAUCCUGGCUCAGGACGAACGCUGGCGGCACGCUUAACACAUGCAAGUCGAACGAGAGAAGAGGAGCUUGCUUUUCUGAUCUAGUGGCGGACGGGUGAGUAACACGUGAGCAAUCUGCCUUUCAGAGGGGGAUACCGAUUGGAAACGAUCGUUAAUACCGCAUAACAUAAUUGAACCGCAUGAUUUGAUUAUCAAAGAUUUAUCGCUGAAAGAUGAGCUCGCGUCUGAUUAGCUAGUUGGUAAGGUAACGGCUUACCAAGGCGACGAUCAGUAGCCGGACUGAGAGGUUGAUCGGCCACAUUGGGACUGAGACACGGCCCAGACUCCUACGGGAGGCAGCAGUGGGGAAUAUUGCACAAUGGAGGAAACUCUGAUGCAGCGAUGCCGCGUGAGGGAAGAAGGUUUUAGGAUUGUAAACCUCUGUCUUCAGGGACGAAAAAAGACGGUACCUGAGGAGGAAGCUCCGGCUAACUACGUGCCAGCAGCCGCGGUAAUACGUAGGGAGCGAGCGUUGUCCGGAAUUACUGGGUGUAAAGGGAGCGUAGGCGGGAUCGCAAGUCAGAUGUGAAAACUAUGGGCUUAACCCAUAAACUGCAUUUGAAACUGUGGUUCUUGAGUGAAGUAGAGGUAAGCGGAAUUCCUAGUGUAGCGGUGAAAUGCGUAGAUAUUAGGAGGAACAUCAGUGGCGAAGGCGGCUUACUGGGCUUUAACUGACGCUGAGGCUCGAAAGCGUGGGGAGCAAACAGGAUUAGAUACCCUGGUAGUCCACGCCGUAAACGAUGAUUACUAGGUGUGGGGGGACUGACCCCUUCCGUGCCGCAGCAAACGCAAUAAGUAAUCCACCUGGGGAGUACGACCGCAAGGUUGAAACUCAAAGGAAUUGACGGGGGCCCGCACAAGCAGUGGAGUAUGUGGAUUAAUUCGAAGCAACGCGAAGAACCUUACCAGGUCUUGACAUCGUAUGCAUAGCUCAGAGAUGAGUGAAAUCUCUUCGGAGACAUAUAGACAGGUGGUGCAUGGUUGUCGUCAGCUCGUGUCGUGAGAUGUUGGGUUAAGUCCCGCAACGAGCGCAACCCUUACUGUUAGUUGCUACGCAAGAGCACUCUAGCAGGACUGCCGUUGACAAAACGGAGGGAGGUGGGGAUGACGUCAAAUCAUCAUGCCCCUUAUGACCUGGGCCUCACACGUACUACAAUGGCUGUCAACAGAGGGAAGCAGAGCCGCGAGGUGGAGCGAACCCCUAAAAGCAGUCUUAGUUCGGAUUGUAGGCUGCAACCCGCCUACAUGAAGUCGGAAUUGCUAGUAAUCGCAGAUCAGCAUGCUGCGGUGAAUACGUUCCCGGGCCUUGUACACACCGCCCGUCACGCCAUGGGAGUCGGUAACACCCGAAGCCUGUAGUCUAACCGCAAGGAGGACGCAGUCGAAGGUGGGAUUGAUGACUGGGGUGAAGUCGUAACAAGGUA